UACGGUGGGGGCAAGCGUUGUUCGGAAUUACUGGGCGUAAAGGGCUCGUAGGUGGCCAACUAAGUCAGACGUGAAAUCCCUCAGCUUAACUGGGGAACUGCGUCUGAUACUGGAUGGCUUGAGUUUGGGAGAGGGAUGCGGAAUUCCAGGUGUAGCGGUGAAAUGCGUAGAUAUCUGGAGGAACACCGGUGGCGAAGGCGGCAUCCUGGACCAAUACUGACACUGAGGAGCGAAAGCCAGGGGAGCAAACGGG
rnacentral:rRNA from 1 species